CCUACGGGAGGCAGCAGUGAGGAAUAUUGGUCAAUGGACGAGAGUCUGAACCAGCCAAGUAGCGUGAAGGAUGACUGCCCUAUGGGUUGUAAACUUCUUUUAUAUGGGAAUAAAAUGUUCCACGUGUGGGUUUUUGUAUGUACCAUAUGAAUAAGGAUCGGCUAACUCCGUGCCAGCAGCCGCGGUAAUACGGAGGAUCCGAGCGUUAUCCGGAUUUAUUGGGUUAAAAGGGUGCGUAGGUGGAUUGUUAAGUCAGUUGUGAAAGUUUGCGGCUCAACCGGAAAAUUGCAGUUGAAACUGGCAGUCUUGAGUACAGUAGAGGUAGGCGGAAUUCGUGGUGUAGCGGUGAAAUGCUUAGAUAUCACGAAGAACUCCGAUUGCGAAGGCAGCUCACUGGACUGCAACUGACACUGAGGCUCGAAAGUGUGGGUAUCAAACAGGAUUAGAUACCCGAGUAGUC
rnacentral:rRNA from 1 species